rnacentral:rRNA from 1 species
GUAGGGGAUAUUGCGCAAUGGACGAAAGUCUGACGCAGCGACGCCGCGUGAGUGAUGAAGGCCUUAGGGUCGUAAAGCUCUGUUGAAUGGGAAGAAAAAAAUGACGGUACCAUUCGAGGAAGGACCGGCUAACUUCGUGCCAGCAGCCGCGGUAAUACGAGGGGUCCUAGCGUUGUUCGGAAUCAUUGGGCGUAAAGGGUGUGUAGGUGGCCAUGUAAGUCAGGUGUGAAAGCCCCGGGCUCAACCCGGGAAGUGCACUUGAUACUGCGUGGCUUGAGUACCGAAGAGGGUAGUGGAAUUCCAGGUGUAGUGGUGAAAUACGUAGAUAUCUGGAGGAACACCGGUGGCGAAGGCGGCUACCUGGUCGAGUACUGACACUGAGACACGAAAGCAUGGGGAUCAAACAGGAUUAGAUACCCUGGUAGUCC